rnacentral:rRNA from 1 species
GAUGAACGCUGGCGGCGUGCCUAAUACAUGCAAGUCGAGCGAACAGACGAGGAGCUUGCUCCUCUGACGUUAGCGGCGGACGGGUGAGUAACACGUGGAAAACCUACCUAACAGACUGGGAACACCUCGGGAAACCGGAGAAAAUAGCGGAUGAUAUAUUGAACCGCCUGGUUCAAUAGUGAAAGAUGGUUUUGAUGUAACAUAUCGAUGGAUCCCUGCCGCAUUAGGUAGUUGGUAAGGUAAAGGGUUACCAAGGCAAGCAUGCGUAGCCGACCGGGGGGGGUGGUCGGCGACACUAGAGCGGGGACGCCGUCCAUGCUCCUACGGGAGGCAGCAGUAGCGAAUCUGCCGCAGUGGGCGAAAACCUUACGGAGCAGCGCCACGUGUGUUAUGAAGGUCUUCGGAGCGGAAAACUCUGUUAUGAGUUAAAAACAAAUUUGUAAGUAACUAUGCACGUCUUGACGGUACCUAAUCAGAAAGCCACGGCUAACUACGUG